GAGAAAGCUGUGAAACACAAAGAUCCUGUCGCUGUCCUCAAAACAAGUUAAAUGCUCCCCUCCCUUCCUGCAAGAUGGAACCAACCCUCUCCUUCCUAAAAAAAGAGAUCAGAAGGCGUCCAGGAUUAUCCAGCGUCCUGCUGAGGUCAGAGAGAAGGGCCGGAGUCACUACAGCUGCAGCACUGACCCCAAACGGGGGACCCGACUGCUUUACGGGAAAUUAAUAUUAACAAGAAGGGAUGACCAUUCACCACGAGACAGGAAUCGUUUUAAGGCUUUCAUCUGCAUUGCCUCUUUCAGUUCCCAAAACAAUUCUACUAGGAAGGUUGAUCUAGGAUGGAUGAUCCUAAAUUUCCCAUUUUAAAGAACAGCAAGGAGAGGCCCAGGGAGAUUAAGUGACUUCCCAACGUUACACACGAGAGCAAGUGACCUCGCGCGUGGGGCGGAGGGAGGCGGACUGAGCGAGCUGAGACCCAGAAACCCUGAACCAGGCGAGACGCGACACGACUAACUACCAAACCCCCUCAGGGACGCGAGGACAGCCCCAAAGGCGAGAAGGCUCCGCCCACAGGAACGAAACCCGCCGGCUUUGCCUCUCCCUCAGUUCUCCGCCCAGACUUCUUUGCCCUGAAUCCCGACUACCAGGUCAUUGCAGGCCCCAAGCGUAAAUCCAUGAAGUUCGGAAGGGCCCGCGAGUCGCGGAACUGGCUCAGACUACCAAGGAAAGUAACGUAGCAACCUCCCAUACUGGGAACGGAAGUGCCCGCGUUGCCACAGUGUCUGGACUACAUUCCCCAGAAUUCCGUGGUCCGUCUGCCUGAGCUACGAAGUGACUCUGCGGGGCUGGUGGACUACACUUCCCAGAAUUCCCCGGAUCCGCCUGUCUGAGUGAAUAGAAAUGUCCGCUACCCCUAGAGUGUGUGGGCUACACUUCCUUGUCUCACCUUCCAGGGAGAAGUGUUUGGGCUACUCUCUGACUACACUUCCCUCAAUGCCCGAAGGGAACCAAACCCGCAGUCCUGACCUCUUGGGCUUAGAGUUUGCGUUGCAAAACUAGUCUAUAAACGCGACUUCCUAAUGCCCCCAGUUAUUACAGGAGUAUUAUUACAAAGAGAACAAGCUGGGAAGUAUAAUCUUCAAGAAAUUAACAGGGAAUGACUGUUUAGGGGUCAGUAGAUGACUGAAAGGAGGAUAAGUAUAAUCUGAUGGUAUGAGGCCAAAAGAGGUAGAUUUUAAAGAAUGGGCGAGAUGGAAUGGUUUUGGGAAGGGCAAUGAGGAACGAGAAAGGUCCCAGCAUCUACUCCAGACCCUGUGCUACCAAUGGUUUAGCAAGAAAAACCAUAAUUUGAAAAGGCCAAAAGGAAAGCCCUGUUCUCAUGGAAAAGCUGUCUUUCCUCGUUUAAACUUUUCGUUUAAACGGUAUUAUGAUUUGUGCGUUAGAGGUGAAAAUAUAAAAUUUCAGAGAAGAAAUUGCCCAAUAUCUCAAAGCAAACAUAACUGCUGAAGAGCUUGACAUUGAUAUCAACCUGAGUCUGCAAGGAGAGUACAAUGGAAAGUCCUCAUUUGGUACUUCCCUAGACUGACAUUAUCAUGAGACACAGUUCUGGAAAGUGAGAAAUAAGUAGCAGUCAGCUGUCCCAUCUGACAAGAGAUGCACUUGGCUAUGAGGUCAUCAGGGGUUCAAAAAGAGUAAAAAGGUGUAAAAGGAAGAUGAGGAUGAUACUGUCUCAUUCAGCUGCUUGGUGGGAUAAAUGCAGUAAAAGAACACAAGUGACUGGCAAAUCUUCUAGUAUUACUGACCAUUUUAAAUGAAGGUUACCUACUAUUUUGGUCAAACUCCUUAAAAUACAAAUAAAGAAGGAAAGACUAUUAAAUAAAAUAUACACGAGGCACAACUCAGGCAUGGGAGAAA